UACGUAGGGGGCAAGCGUUGUCCGGAUUUACUGGGCGUAAAGAGCGCGUAGGCGGAAGCUUAAGUGUGGCCUGAAAGCCCCCGGCUCAACCGGGGAAGGUGGCUGCAAACUGGGCUUCUUGAGGGGGAUAGGGGAAAGUGGAAUUCCGGGUGUAGCGGUGAAAUGCGUAGAGAUCCGGAGGAACACCAGUGGCGAAGGCGGCUUUCUGGACCAAUACUGACGCUGAGACGCGAAAGCGUGGGGAGCAAACAGG
rnacentral:rRNA from 1 species